GUUAUAUACAGGGGGUACCGGUACAGAGUCAAUGUGGAGGCUAUAUACAGGGGGUACCAGUACAGAGUCAAUGUGGAGGCUAUAUACAGGGGGUACCGGUACAGAGUCAAUGUGGAGGUUAUAUACAGGGGGUACCGGUACAGAGUCAAUGUGGAGACUAUAUACAGGGGGUACCGGUACAGAGUCAAUGUGGAGGCUAUAUACAGGGCAUUACGGUACAGAGUCAAUGUGGAGGCUAUAUACAGGGGGUACUGGUACAGAGUCAAUGUGGAGGCUAUAUACAGGGGGUACCGGUACAGAGUCAAUGUGGAGGCUAUAUACAGGGUAUUACGGUACAGAGUCAAUGUGGAGGCUAUAUACAGGGUAUUACGGUACAGAGUCAAUGUGAAGGCUAUAUACAGGGGGUACCGGUACAGAGUCAAUGUGGAGACUAUAUACAGGGUAUUACGGUACAGAGUCAAUGUGGAGGCUAUAUACAGGGUAUUACGGUACAGAGUCAAUGUGGAGGCUAUAUAAAGGGGGUACCGGUACAGAGUCAAUGUGGAGGCUUUAUACAGGGGGUACCGGUACAGAGUCAAUGUGGAGGCUAUAUACAGUGGGUACCGGUAAUGAGUCAAUGUGGAGGCUAUAUACAGGGUAUUACGGUACAGAGUCAAUGUGGAGGCUAUAUACAGGGGGGUACCGGUACAGAGUCAAUGUGGAGGUUAUAUAC
rnacentral:lncRNA from 1 species